UCAUUCGAUGAAGAAAUAUCAAAACUCUAUUUUAUCUUUUAUGCUUUUCCUUUUCAUGCAUUGCAAUUUAUUGGUUUGAUCGACGGGCAAAGCUCCCGCGACUACCAUUUAUCUCUCCGCCGAUCGCCUUUGCGACGCCGGAAACUUGUUAAGAGAAAUCAUCUCUUAACAGUAUUGUGGAUCCUGUGGAAAUUUUGGAUUGAGCAAGUGAUUUGAUGGAAGACCAUCAAGUUCUGGAAGGGAGCCAACAGGUUGAUCUCUCCAGCCAUCCGUCCGGAAUUGUUCCAACUCUCCAGAAUAUUGUCUCUACUGUCAAUUUGGACUGCAAAUUAGAUCUUAAAGCUAUAGCAUUGCAGGCUCGUAAUGCAGAAUACAAUCCCAAGCGUUUUGCUGCUGUGAUUAUGAGGAUUCGAGAACAAAAAACUACAGCACUAAUAUUUGCAUCUGGAAAGAUGGUGUGUACAGGAGCGAAGAGCGAAGCACAAUCCAAAUUGGCUGCCCGUAAGGAUUUCAAAAUUCAGAACAUAGUUGGAUCAUGUGCUGUAAAAUUUCCCAUUCGACUUGAAGGGCUGGCCCUUGCUCAGUUAUGAGCCGGAGGUGUUCCCUGGGUUAAUCUAUCGAAUGAAACAACCUAAGAUUGUGCUGCUCAUUUUUGUCUCUGAGAAGAUUGUCCUUACUGGAGCUAAGGUUAGAGAUUGAGACUUAUACUGCCUUUGAGAAUAUAUACCCUGUUCUCACAGGAUUCCGGAAAGAUUAUUCAAGAUGUUGGAUGAUGAGAUCAAGUAGCUGGGAUUCAAUUGUAAAUAUGCUUAGGGGAUUAGACUGGCUGGUUGGGUAAUACUGUUCCAGGUAGAAUGAAGGCAAUCUGCCUUUUUUGUUGAACUGUCAGUGCAUCACAUUCAAUGUGUACUCAUUUUUGAACCACUGUUUCAUCUCUUCUUUACAUUCAAGAGGUUUCUACAUUAA